rnacentral:rRNA from 1 species
CACGCCAUAAACGAUGAUUACUGGGUGUAGGGAGUAUCGACUCUCUCUGUGCCGAAGCAAACGCGAUAAGUAAUCCACCUGGGGAGUACGGCCGCAAGGCUAAAACUCAAAGGAAUUGACGGGGACCCGCACAAGCAGUGGAGUAUGUGGUUUAAUUCGAGGCAACGCGAAGAACCUUACCAGGGAUUGACAUCCUGCGCUAGGCUUGGAGACAGGUUGUUCCUUCGGGACGCAGAGACAGGUGG